rnacentral:lncRNA from 1 species
AUGAGUUUUUCUCAAUAGUGGCUCCAAGGACAGCCUAGAAGUCUUGCUUACCCACUUGGUUUAACUUUUGGCCAUCAAAGUGAGAAAAAUCAGCCCUCUCUUUUCACAUUUCACCAGGAAAAACUCAAGGUUAGAUGGGGAAAAAUACUGAUAAUGCUGAAGAGAUGCCUUCAAGCAAUACCAAGGAUUUGUCCCCUCAUUUAUAGAGAGGUUACUGGCCUGUGUAUGUCCAUGUGCUUCCAAGGCUUUAGCAUCUCAGAACAUAGAUUGGAAAGGACCUCAAAGCAAGUCUGUCUAAAGCAGGUUCCCCCCUUCCUUAGUGAGAGCUGGAUUCAAGGAAACUGGAGCUUCUGCUAUUUGUAAUUAGCUUUGUGAACAGUUGCAAUUAGACAUUUGGAAAAUGCAGCAUUUUGCUUUCCCUCAGAAGAACAGGUGAGUGUAGAAAAGAACUACCUUGUAAUGGCCCUGAAUGACACUUUAAUUUAAUUCAUCUUCUUC